UACAUAGGGAGCAAGCGUUAUCCGGAUUUAUUGGGUGUAAAGGGUGCGUAGACGGGAAUUUAAGUUAGUUGUGAAAUCCCUCGGCUUAACUGAGGAACUGCAACUAAAACUGGAUUUCUUGAGUGCGAGAGAGGAAAGCGGAAUUCCUAGUGUAGCGGUGAAAUGCGUAGAUAUUAGGAGGAACACCAGUGGCGAAGGCGGCUUUCUGGAUCGUAACUGACGUUGAGGCACGAAAGUGUGGGGAG
rnacentral:rRNA from 1 species